GGUAAUUUGGCUCAGUGGCAUAAGCGCCUGCCUGGUAAGCACGAGGUCAUGAGUUCAAUCCCCAUUACUG
rnacentral:tRNA from 1 species